GAUGGCCGCGGCCGUGAUCUUCAUUGGGAUCGGCUGAGGAACUUCCGGGCUCCAUAGAGCACGAUGGCGGAUAACGUCCGCCCAGGGUGACCUGAGAGAUAGCGCAACAGAGAACAGACCGCCCGUCCUCGACGGGUAAGGGUGAAACGGCGGUGUAAGAGACCACCGGGCCUCUGGUAACAGUAGGUCGCAUGGCAAGCCUCAUCGGGAGCAAGGCCAAGCAGAUGGCGGUAAGGGCUGCUCGCCCGUGUCAUCGGGUAGGCUGCUAGAGCCUGGCGGUAACGUCAGGUCGAGAUGGAUGGCCAUC
rnacentral:RNase_P_RNA from 1 species